rnacentral:rRNA from 1 species
AUCAACUUUCGAUGGUAGGAUAGAGGCCUACCAUGGUGGUAACGGGUAACGGGGUGUUAGGGCACGACACCGGAGAGGGAGCCUGAGAAACGGCUACCACAUCCAAGGAUGGCAGCAGGCGCGCAAAUUACCCAAUCCCGACACGGGGAGGUAGUGACAAUAAAUAACAAUACGGGGUUCUUUCGGAUCUCGUAAUUGGAAUGAGUACAAUUUAAAUCUCUUAACGAGGAACAAUUGGAGGGCAAGUCUGGUGCCAGCAGCCGCGGUAAUUCCAGCUCCAAUAGCGUAUAUUAAAGUUGUUGCAGUUAAAAAGCUCGUAGUUGAAUUUCGGGGUUAGUAAGCUGGUCGUGCCACUGGUAUGUACUGGUUUUACUGAUCUCUCCUUCUUGUAGAACCGUAAUGCCAUUAAUUUGGUGUUGCGGGGAAACAGGACUGUUACUUUGAAAAAAUUAGAGUGUUUAAAGCAGGCUAACGCUUGAAUACAUUAGCAUGGAAUAAUGAAAUAGGACGUUCGAUCCUAUUUUGUUGGUUUCUAGGAUUGACGUAAUGAUUAAUAGGGAUAGUUGGGGGCAUUAGUAUUCAAUUGUCAGAGGUGAAAUUCUUGGAUUUAUUGAAGACUAACUACUGCGAAAGCAUUUGCCAAGGAUGUUUUCAUUAAUCAAGAACGAAAGUUAGGGGAUCGAAGACGAUCAGAUACCGUCGUAGUCUUAACCAUAAACUAUGCCGACUAGGGAUCGGAUGAUGUUAAUUUUUUAAUGACUCAUUCGGCGCCUUACGGGAAACCAAAGUGUUUGGGUUC